rnacentral:rRNA from 1 species
GAUGAACGCUGGCGGCGUGCCUAACACAUGCAAGUCGAGCGAUUCUCUUCGGAGAAGAGCGGCGGACGGGUGAGUAACGCGUGGGUAACCUGCCCUGUACACACGGAUAACAUACCGAAAGGUAUGCUAAUACGAGAUAAUAUACUUUUAUCGCAUGGUAGAAGUAUCAAAGCUUUUGCGGUACAGGAGGGACCCGCGUCUGAUUAGCUAGUUGGUAAGGUAACGGCUUACCAAGGCGACGAACAGUAGCCGACCUGAGAGGGUGAUCGGCCACAUUGGAACUGAGACACGGUCCAAACUCCUACGGGAGGGAGCAGUGGGGAAUAUUGCACAAUGGGCGAAAGCCUGAUGCAGCAACGCCGCGUGAGCGAUGAAGGCCUUCGGGUCGUAAAGCUCUGUCCUCAAGGAAGAUAAUGACGGUACUUGAGGAGGAAGCCCCGGCUAACUACGUGCCAGCAGCCGCCGUAACAC